CUAAAUUUAUUAUUGUUAUGCAUCCAUCAUGUCAAAGAUUCGGAGUUGAAGUGUUCAUAUCUGACGAAGAUGACUACCAAACUCCAUGGUGUCCACAUGCAAUAACUCUUUAAUAAUGAUGCAAUCAAAUUCUUUUUGAACACUUUUGAAACUCUUGGUUACCAGAAGAUAAUUUGUGUAGGUACUCCUAGAAUACAUGAAGCAAUUCAAACUAGAAAAGCUGCUG